CGCUAGUAAUCGCGCAUCAGCCACGGCGCGGUGAAUACGUUCCCGGGCCUUGUACACACCGCCCGUCAAGCCAUGGGAGCCGGGGGUACCUGAAGUGCGUAACCGCGAGGAGCGCCCUAGGGUAAAACUGGUGACUGGGGCUAAGUCGUAACAAGGUACC
rnacentral:rRNA from 1 species